rnacentral:rRNA from 1 species
CCUACGGGUGGCAGCAGUGGGGAAUAUUGGGCAAUGGAGGCGACUCUGACCCAGCAAAGUCGCGUGAAUGAUGAAGGUCUUAGGAGUGUCAAGUUCUUUUCUAAGAGAAAUAGAAAGUGACGGUACCUUCGGUCUAAGCCUAGGCUAACUACGUGCCAGCAGCCGCGGUAAUACGGAGGAUGCAAGCGUUAUCCGGACUGACUGGGCGUAAAGGGUGCGUAGGUGGUUUGACAAGUUGGUAGCGUAACUCCGUAGCUCAACUUCGGAAUUACUACUAAAACUGUCGGACUCGAGUGCAGGGGGGGUAACUGGAAUUCCUAGUGUAGCGGUGGAAUGCGUAGAUAUUAGGAAGAACACCGGUGGCGAAGGCGAGUUGCUGGACUGUAACUGACACUGAGGCACGAAAGUGUGGGGAGCAAACAGGAUUAGAUACCCUUGUAGUC